UACGGAGGGUGCGAGCGUUGCCCGGAAUCAUUGGGCGUAAAGGGCGCGUAGGUGGCCCGGUCAGUCUUUGGUGAAAGCGCGGGGCUCAACCCUGCGUCGGCCAGGGAUACUGCCGCGGCUCGAGCACUGUAGAGGCAGGCGGAAUUCCGGGUGUAGCGGUGGAAUGCGUAGAGAUCCGGAAGAACACCGGUGGCGAAGGCGGUUAGCUGGGCAGUUGCUGACACUGAGGCGCGACAGCGUGGGGAGCA
rnacentral:rRNA from 1 species